GGGAGAGGCGCUGCUGGACGGCGGCGGUAAGCUGGGCAGCACGCAGGCGGUGAGAGGGAGAGGGCAGUCGACGGGGAGAAAGGAGAAAGGGGAGGGAAAAGGAGGAAGGAAAAGAAGGAGAGGGAAGCUUUUCUCUCGCUGAGCCAUUGCAACUCUCUCCAAUUCCGGUGCCAAGUUUACCACCAUUUACCGAUGAAAAUCCGUCUCUAGAUCAGUCGCUAUAUGAGUGGCAAACUAACAAAUUUUGCUUUACCAACAACAUUAUCGAUUGUAAGUCCGUCGCUAUGUUGACUUAAUGAUGGAUUUAACCCCUCUAGCGAAAGUCUCCAUCCAUUAUUA